AUCCAGGACAUCUUCUUCCGCACAGAUGUAGACCGUUCUGGAAUGUUGUCGUUGAGUGAACUGAGGAACGCAAUCAUGGCUUCAGGGAUCAGGGUGGUGAUGACAUGUUAAACCUGAUGGCUCUGCGCUACGGUGGAUCUUCUGGAAACAUCAGCCUGGAGAGUUUCAUCAGCCUCGUUCUACGCAUGAACUGCAUGGCCAACAUUUUCGACAACUCAAUGAUGGAGGGGUCAUAUCUCUUCAAGAGAAUGAGUGGAUGUACAUCUCUAUGUAUACAUAAACUGCAGACCAACUUGGACGGACAGAAGACUGCAGUUGGAAUCGUGAGAUUUGGGGGGGGGGAAAGCGUGCUAAGGUGGUGCUUUGCUGGACAAACCAUUCCUUUGUGCUGCAGCAGUUUCAGGGGGAUUUGUUGCACUUUUGAGAUGUGAAGCCUCCUGCAGUUCAAAGAGAGCACUCAAGAUCGGGUGCUUAGUAAGUGACUGUACUCUUGAAAUUGAUGCGCUCAUAGGCUUUAAAACAUAAUGGGUUACAUUCUGGUACACAUUCUGGUACAUUAUAUUUAAUAUUUGCUAAUGUGGUAGUUUGUGUUUUUGUUUCUGGGUAUUCUGUAAGGGUUAUUAAGUUCCUAACUGUAUAUGUAUAGAGCAGUGGUCUCCAUCUCUAAUAGUUCUGGAGAGCUACUUAAAAAAAUAUAUAUAUAUAUAUAUAUAUAU